rnacentral:lncRNA from 1 species
GUUUACUUUUCUACAUUGGCUAGAGGUAUAGGGGGAGGAUUGAGAUCUCAUAAACAUGUUUAACCCCGCCGCAUUUUUGCGCCUGUCCCAAGUCAGGAGCCUCUGGCCUUUGUUAGUCUUGUAUUAUUUUAAUUUUAGUUUCUUGUGUACAAUUUGGAAAUUAGUAUGGCGUUCAUUAUCACUGAACUAGUAUAUAUUUGUUUAGGGGCC